rnacentral:rRNA from 1 species
CCUACGGGGGACAGCAGUAGGGAAUUUUCGUCAAUGGGCGCAAGCCUGAACCAGCGAUGCCGCGUGAGUGAAGAAGGCCUUCGGGUCGUAAAGCUCUGUUUCUGGGGAAAAAAAGCAGCAUCAGGUAAUGGUUGCUCACUGUUUGUGCCCCGCCAGACAGUCACGGCUAACUACGUGCGAGCAGCCGCUGUAAUACGUAGGGGGCGAGCGUUAUCCGGAAUGAUUGGUCGUAAAGGGUGCGGAGGCGGUCCUGCAAGUCUGGAGUGAAACGCAUGAGCUCAACUCAUGAAUGGCAUUUGAAACUGGAGGACUGGAGAGCAGGAGAGGGCGGCGGAACUCAAGGUGUAGCGGUAAAAUGCGUAGAUAUAGGGAAGAACACCAGUGGCGAAGGCGGCCGACUGGGCUGUAGCUGACGCUGAGGCACGAAAGCGUGGGGAGCAAAUAGGAUUAGAUACCCUAGUAGUC